rnacentral:ribozyme from 1 species
GUGCUCAGCUCGGCUGAGAGUGCACUACACUGCCUUUUGAGUAUGCUCUUCUGCUCGCUGCUCAUCCGAGCAGAUUCGCGCAUUCAUCACAUGCCCAA